rnacentral:rRNA from 1 species
AGCGAACGCUGGCGGCAGGCCUAACACAUGCAAGUCGAGCGCCCCGCAAGGGGAGCGGCAGACGGGAGAGUAACACGUGGGAACGUACCCUUUGGUUCGGAACAACCCAGGGAAACUUGGGCUAAUACCGGAUAAGCCCUUACGGGGAAAGAUUCAUCGCCGAAGGAUCGGCCCGCGUCUGAUUAGCUAGUUGGUGGGGUAACGGCCCACCAAGGCGACGAUCAGUAGCUGGUCUGAGAGGAUGAUCAGCCUCACUGGGACUGAGACGCGGCCCAGACUCCUACGGGAGGCAGCAGUGGGGAAUAUUGGACAAUGGGCGCAAGCCUGAUCCAGCCAUGCCGCGUGGGUGAUGAAGGCCCUAGGGUUGUAAAGCCCUUUCGGCGGGGAAGAUAAUGACGGUACCCGCAGAAGAAGCCCCGGCUAACUUCGUGCCAGCCGCCGCUGUAAAAC